UACGGAGGGUGCGAGCGUUGUCCGGAAUCAUUGGGCGUAAAGGGCGCGUAGGUGGCCUGCUAAGCGUGCGGUGAAAGUCGGGGGCUCAACCCCCGAUCGGCCGUGCGAACUGGGAGGCUUGAGCACUGUAGAGGCAGGCGGAAUUCCGGGUGUAGCGGUGGAAUGCGUAGAGAUCCGGAAGAACACCAGUGGCGAAGGCGGCUCACUGGCCCAUAACUGACGCUGAGGCACGAAAGCGUGGGGAGCAAACAGGG
rnacentral:rRNA from 1 species